UUGCCCUUUAACUCUAAAUUUCUUCAUCACAUCAUGACUAGUAUACUACUUCCCAAACAAUUUCAUCAUGAUGAAAUUAGUCAAAUAGAGCUAAGCACUAUGUAUUGGUUAAUGACCGGCCAACAUAAUUAUUUUAGAUACUUAAUCCGGCAACAUAUGCAGGACAUAAUAGCUAAAGACACAAUGUUACCAUAUGGGGGGUUAGUCACUCGAUUAAUACUUGCCCAUAAUAUUUGUGUCUCACCCGAUGAAGAAAUAAUUCAAUUUGA
rnacentral:lncRNA from 1 species